UACGGAGGGUGCAAGCGUUAUCCGGAUUUACUGGGUUUAAAGGGUGCGUAGGUGGGCAGGUAAGUCAGUGGUGAAAUCUUCAAGCUUAACUUGGAAACUGCCAUUGAUACUAUUUAUCUUGAAUACUUUGGAGGUAAGCGGAAUAUGUCAUGUAGCGGUGAAAUGCUUAGAUAUGACAUAGAACACCAAUUGCGAAGGCAGCUUACUACACAGUUAUUGACACUGAGGCACGAAAGCGUGGGGAUCAAACAGG
rnacentral:rRNA from 1 species